CAACCUCAACUCAUAUGGGACUACCCCCUGAAUUUAAGCAUAUUAAUUAGGGGAGGAAAAGAAACUAACAAGGAUUUUCUUAGUAGCGGCGAGCGAAAAGAAAUCAGUUCAGCACUAAGUCACUUUGUCUAUAUGGCAAAUGUGAGAUGCAGUGUAUGGAGCGUCAAUAUUCUAGUAUGAGAAAUUAACGAUUUAAGUCCUUCUUAAAUGAGGCCAUUUACCCAUAGAGGGUGCCAGGCCCGUAUAACGUUAAUGAUUACUAGAUGAUGUUUCCAAAGAGUCGUGUUGCUUGAUAGUGCAGCACUAAGUGGGUGGUAAACUCCAUCUAAAAAUAAAUAUAACCAUGAGACCGAUAGUAAAACAAUUCCGUGAGGGAAAGUUGAAAAGAACUCUGAAUAGAGAGUUAAAAUAUACCGUGAAACUGCUUAGAGGGUAAGCC
rnacentral:ncRNA from 1 species